GGUAGGUCAAGCCAACAGCAGGCGAUGGCAACUCACCGCUAAUGAGUCGAGGCUUAACCGUCCUUGCAGGUUCGACCCCUGCACCUACCGC
rnacentral:tRNA from 1 species